UACGGAGGGGGCUAGCGUUGUUCGGAAUUACUGGGCGUAAAGCGCACGUAGGCGGCUUUGUAAGUUAGAGGUGAAAGCCCGGGGCUCAACUCCGGAAUUGCCUUUAAGACUGCAUCGCUGGAAUCGUGGAGAGGUGAGUGGAAUUCCGAGUGUAGAGGUGAAAUUCGUAGAUAUUCGGAAGAACACCAGUGGCGAAGGCGACUCACUGGACACGUAUUGACGCUGAGGUGCGAAAGCGUGGGGAGCAAACAGG
rnacentral:rRNA from 1 species